UACGUAGGGGGCAAGCGUUGUCCGGAAUCAUUGGGCGUAAAGCGCGUGUAGGCGGUUCGAUAAGUCUGCUGUGAAAGUCCAGGGCUCAACCCUGGGAUGCCGGUGGAUACUGUCGGGCUAGAGUACGGAAGAGGCGAGUGGAAUUCCCGGUGUAGCGGUGGAAUGCGCAGAUAUCAGGAGGAACACCGAUAGCGAAGGCAGCUCGCUGGGACGGUACUGACGCUGAGGUGCGAAAGCGUGGGGAGCGAACAGG
rnacentral:rRNA from 1 species